ACAACUCUUAGCGGUGGAUCACUCGGCUCGUGUGUCGAUGAAGAGCGCAGCCAGCUGCGUUAACUAAUGUGAAUUGCAGGACACAUUGAACAUCGAAAUCUUGAACGCACAUUGCGGCAGAGGUCCCGCCUCUGCCACGUCUGUCUCAGGGUCUGUGG
rnacentral:rRNA from 1 species